UACGUAGGGGGCAAGCGUUGUCCGGAAUCAUUGGGCGUAAAGAGCGUGUAGGCGGCCUGGUAAGUCCGCUGUGAAAGUCCAGGGCUCAACCCUGGAAUGCCGGUGGAAACUGUCAGGCUCGAAUCCGGGAGAGGGAUGCGGAAUUCCAGGUGUAGCGGUGAAAUGCGUAGAUAUCUGGAGGAACACCGGUGGCGAAGGCGGCAUCCUGGACCGGCAUUGACGCUGAGGCGCGAAAGCCAGGGGAGCAAACGGG
rnacentral:rRNA from 1 species